GACGAACGCUGGCGGCGUGCUUAACAAAUGCAAGUCGAACGGAAAGGCCCUGCUUUGGUGGGUGGCUCGAGUGGCAAACGGGUAAGUAACACGUGAUUAACCUGCCCUUGACUUUGGGAUAACUUCGGAAAACUGGGGCUAAUACCGGAUAGGAGCUCCUGCUGCAUGGGGGGGGUUGGAAAGUUUCGGCGGUUGGGGAUGGACUCGCGGCUUAUCAGCUUGUUGGUGGGGUAGUGGCUUACCAAGGCUUUGACGGGUGGCCGGCCUGAGAGGGUGACCGGCCACAUUGGGACUGAGAUACGGCCCAGACUCCUACGGGAGGCAGCAGUGGGGAAUAUUGCACAAUGGGCGGAAGCCUGAUGCAGCAACGCCGCGUGCGGGAUGACGGCCUUCGGGUUGUAAACCGCUUUCGCCUGUGACGAAGCGUGAGUGACGGUAAUGGGUAAAGAAGCACCGGCUAACUACGUG
rnacentral:rRNA from 1 species